rnacentral:rRNA from 1 species
GGAUUAGAUACCCUGGUAGUCCACGCCGUAAACGAUGUCAACUAGCCGUUGGGUUUCUUGUAAACUUAGUGGCGCAGCUAACGCGAUAAGUUGACCGCCUGGGGAGUACGGCCGCAAGGUUAAAACUCAAAUGAAUUGACGGGGGCCCGCACAAGCGGUGGAGCAUGUGGUUUAAUUCGAAGCAACGCGAAGAACCUUACCUACUCUUGACAUCCAGAGAACUUAGCAGAGAUGCUUUGGUGCCUUCGGGAACUCUGAGACAGGUGCUGCAUGGCUGUCGUCAGCUCGUGUUG